UGCUGUCUGCAUAUGCUCCUCAAACUGUCGUGGUAUCUCAAGUAUUAUGACACGUAGCUUGGGAGCUUUUACCACACACCAACCCAUGUUAUCCAAUGCUUCACAACGGAUGAAGGAGAAACAAAUAAAGUAAUUGCAAUGGAGCAACAAGUUGAGACUCAUCCUUUAGACAGACAACGGAAAUCUUAUAGUGGAAAUUUGUGCCCAUGAAAUUUAUGAGACAAGAAAACGUUAUAAGGCACCCUGCAACAUCAUCUUCGAAGCAAACAACAGCUAAGCGUACAAACUCCCAUGAAAUAAAUGCUAGCAUCCAACUUCAGCAAUACCAACUAGCUGAUGCCUACCUAAUACAACGGUAAAAACCAAUUCUGUGUAGCAAAUUGUGGAGGAGAAAUGAACAACGAAGGAUAAGUAACCCGAUCAAAGACCAUCCUUAAACUCAAGCUAGUAAUAGCUUGUUGCUUAAUUGACACUUCAGCAAAACCAUGAGCCAAGCAUGUGAAGAAUCAGGAAAAUUGUUGGCAUUCCAUUGAUGGUGUGGUAAAACAAGGCAUAUGGUGUGGCCCUACCUCAAAACUGACAUAUGCGCAGUAGUUAAGUGAUUCCCAUUGAACAAGAUUUUCAAACUGAAGCACAUUCCAGGCAUACAAGCGAAAUUCAUCAAGAUUGACAAGACCAAAACCAUUGAAAUGAUCAUCUGCACCUCUCCUUAAUUAUUGCGGGAGCGUUAAUGCUAUAUUCCCUAAAAAUUUUGGUAAAAUAUUCGGCUAGUAUAGGUUGGGAUAAGUAUUUCACAAUUAUAGAAUAGG